AGUGGAGUUCUUCGGAACAAAGCUAGCGGCGGACGGCCGUGUAACACGUGGGCAACCUGCCUCAUAGAGGGGAAUAGCCUCCCGAAAGGGAGAUUAAUACCGCAUAAGAUUGUAGCUUCGCAUGAAGUAGCAAUUAAAGGAGUAAUCCGCUAUGAGAUGGGCCCGCGGCGCAUUAGCUAGUUGGUGAGGUAACGGCUCACCAAGGCGACGAUGCGUAGCCGACCUGAGAGGGUGAUCGGCCACAUUGGGACUGAGACACGGCCCAGACUCCUACGGGAGGCAGCAGUGGGGAAUAUUGCACAAUGGGGGAAACCCUGAUGCAGCAACGCCGCGUGAGUGAUGACGGCCUUCGGGUUGUAAAGCUCUGUCUUCAGGGACGAUAAUGACGGUACCUGAGGAGGAAGCCACGGCUAACUACGUGCCAGCAGCCGCGGUAAUACGUAGGUGGCGAGCGUUGUCCGGAUUUACUGGGCGUAAAGGGAGCGUAGGCGGACUUUUAAGUGAGAUGUGAAAUACCCGGGCUCAACUUGGGUGCUGCAUUUCAAACUGGAAGUCUAGAGUGCAGGAGAGGAGAAUGGAAUUCCUAGUGUAGCGGUGAAAUGCGUAGAGAUUAGGAAGAACACCAGUGGCGAAGGCGAUUCUCUGGACUGUAACUGACGCUGAGGCUCGAAAGCGUG
rnacentral:rRNA from 1 species